rnacentral:rRNA from 1 species
GACGAACGCUGGCGGCGUGCUUAACACAUGCCAGUCGAACGGUGAAGCGCCUUCCUUUUUGGUGGGUGUGGAUGAGUGGCGAACGGGUGAGUAACACGUGAGUAACCUGCCCCCUUCUUCUGGAUAACCGCAUGAAAGUGUGGCUAAUACGGGAUAUUCUGGGUCUGUCGCAUGAUGGGUCUGGGAAAGAUAUUGUUUCGGUGGGGGGUGGGCUCGCGGCCUAUCAGCUUGUUGGUGGGGUGAUGGCCUACCAAGGCGGUGACGGGUAGCCGGCCUGAGAGGGUGGGCGGUCACAGUGGGACUGAGACACGGCGAAGACUCCUACGGGAGGCAGCAGUGGGGAAUAUUGCACAAUGGGCGCAAGCCUGAUGCAGCGACGCCGCGGGAGGGAUGGAGGCCUGCGGGUUGUGAACCUCUUUCGCCAGUGAAGCAGGCCUGCCUCGUUUGUGGGUGGGUUGACGGUAGCUGGAGAAGAAGCGCCGGCUAACUACGUG